rnacentral:lncRNA from 1 species
AAGUGUCAUUUGAGCCAAAGAGACUACUAUUACUUCUUGGAUUCAAGUUAUCAAUCAAUCUCUCACGAAUUUCAUAAUUAGCCUUAUGAAUGGACUAAGCAUCAACCUAAAUCACUAUCUCAAUUAUCCGCUAAAUGUACAUUAUAAUUAAACUAAUGUAUUCUUGUUGAUCAUAAACUGUUGAGAUUUUGUGUAAUUCCAUAUUGUUUAGGCAGUUACUUGUUCUGCAUUCUGCAAGUAACAAGAAUAGUUUGUUAUGAUUUGUUGCUUAGGUGUCAAAUAAUAUAUAUGUUUGUUAGUUAGGGAGUUAAUAACCACAUUUGAGUUUGUUAGGGUGUUAGUUAGAAGUUAGUUAUGAGCUAACUUUGUUGCUUAUGUUAUGUGUGAAGCAGCUUAUAUAAAUGCUUAGAUGCGUUUUAUUGGUGAUCGUAUUGUAUUGUGAUUUUGGCCCAUUAGUGGAUGAAUAAAAUUAUCUCUCUCCCUAAACAAUUUCAAUCUUUGUUGAGCCAAUAUUCAUUGCUUUUCAUUCAUUUUCUCUUCUCUCAUUGCUUCUGCAACAUAAAAACCAGUUUGUGCAAGUGUGUGUGUGUGAAGCGCGUUCUGCGCCUAUUGAAGCAGUGUAUGUGUGCGCGCUUAUGUUUGAUCAAUUGUUGCGCUAAUUAACAUCUGCAUAUUUCUCCUUCUGCUGCAACUGGU